rnacentral:rRNA from 1 species
UGGGGAAUAUUGGACAAUGGGCGAAAGCCUGAUCCAGCCAUGCCGCGUGUGUGAAGAAGGUCUUCGGAUUGUAAAGCACUUAAAGUUGGGAGGAAGGGCAGUAAGCGAAUACCUUGCUGUUUUGACGUUACCGACAGAAUAAGCACCGGCUAACUCUGUGCCAGCAGCCGCGGUAAUACAGAGGGUGCAAGCGUUAAUCGGAAUUACUGGGCGUAAAGCGCGCGUAGGUGGUUCGUUAAGUUGAAUGUGAAAGCCCCGGGCUCAACCUGGGAACUGCAUCCAAAACUGGCGAGCUAGAGUAGGGCAGAGGGUGGUUGAAUUUCCUGUGUAGCGGUGAAAUGCGUAGAUAUAGGAAGGAACACCAGUGGCGAAGGCGACCACCUGGGCUCAUACUGACACUGAGGUGCGAAAGCGUGGUGAGCAAACAGG